rnacentral:rRNA from 1 species
GACGAACGCUGGCGGCGUGCCCAAUACAUGCAAGUUGAGCGCUGAAGGUUGGUACUUGUACCAAUUGGAUGAGCAGCGAACGGGUGAGUAACGCGUGGGGAAUCUGCCUUUGAGCGGGGGACAACAUUUGGAAACGAAUGCUAAUACCGCAUAAAAACUUUAAACACAAGUUUUAAGUUUGAAAGAUGCAAUUGCAUCACUCAAAGAUGAUCCCGCGUUGUAUUAGCUAGUUGGUGAGGUAAAGGCUCACCAAGGCGAUGAUACAUAGCCGACCUGAGAGGGUGAUCAGCCACAUUGGGACUGAGACACGGCCCAAACUCCUACGGGAGGCAGCAGUAGGGAAUCUUCGGCAAUGGACGAAAGUCUGACCGAGCAACGCCGCGUGAGUGAAGAAGGUUUUCGGAUCGUAAAACUCUGUUGGUAGAGAAGAACGUUGGUGAGAGUGGAAAGCUCAUCAAGUGACGGUAACUACCCAGAAAGGGACGGCUAACUACGUG